UCUAGCAGAGGUUAGGUUGCGUUGCGUGUCUUGAGGUUACAAACAGUUUUCAAGGGGCUUAUACAUCUAGAACUUUGGUAUGACCUUUACCAAGGUUUACUUCGUCAAUUGAGUCAUCGUUGUACCCAUGCACACUAACCUAGACAACGACACCGGGACGGUUUUGAAGAUUGUGCUAACUUACUUUUACAAAGCCAAAAUUUGCAGUUCCCCUACAUUUUCACAUUUUACGAAUUCUAAAAAACUUAGUUUAUCGAGAGCCGAUGAUAACACACCCAGUCGCUGCAAAACACAGUAAGGUCGCUUGCGUUCAGUUUUGUUUAGGGACGGUACUACGCCACACACACCACCUCCUACGGGCUGCCUUCUUUGUUCCUCCCUUUCGGGCAGCUUCCUCGUCGUGCCUCGCCGCUGUGCCGGACUUACUCUCGGAGCGAUUAAUUUAGAUUUUAGAAAAGUUAAUGUUUUCCCGAAUUAGCAAUAUGAAAGUGCAACAAGAAUAUGUCCAGUCCCGCCGCAGCGUCGCUUGAGUUCCGUGGUUCCGUGACCUGACUCUCUGCCUCUCACGCUGUAGUAGUCGUGCCCAGCCCAGUGCGAGUGCAAUGCGAAGUGUAACAAGUGCUUCCUUCUGACGGCUCAGCGUUCCGUGAUUUCCGAGUCGUUCUCCCCAUCCAGCGCUCAGCGCACGUCUAAAGAUCGUGCAAGGCUUUGGCCGAAGCGAGUCCGCGCUGAACCACUAACACCAAGAUGGACACACGAGAAACGCUGGGGUGUACUCUCUGCGACAGGAAAUUUUCUUACGGAUCUUUUCUGCGCCGUCAUCUCCGCACGCACACGGGGGAGAAGCCAUUCGCAUGUUCUUUGUGCGACAAGAAAUUUUCACGAGUAGAUGUACUGCGUGAACAUCUCCGCACGCACACGGGGGACCAGCCAUUCGGAUGUUCUUUGUGCGACAAGAAAUUUUCAC